rnacentral:lncRNA from 1 species
CAUCAUCUCUCUCCUUGCCCUCCCCCAUCUUCUCUCUCUUGAUCUCUCUCCUUGCCCUCCCCAUCCUCACUCUCUUGUCUUGGAAAAAAAAAAAUGCCCAUGCAAACUUGGAAGAGCUGGUGAUCUGCAUUUUGGUAGAGAUUUUUCUUAUGUUCCUAUCUCUCUCCCCUUGCUCCUCCAUGGCCGCCAUUUCUUUUGCUGCAAGUGAACGGGAUCAUCAGAGGUCUCUCUCUCCUUGCUGCUUUGAGGCCCCAUUGUAAGGUAUGCAGAAAAAUUGAGCAUGAUUUGACCCUGCAACUCGAAUGUCCACAUGGCCAAUCCAUACCAGCUGUUGAGUUUGCAAGCUUUGGGAACCUUGAGAAAGCCUUGUCUAUAGUGCAAAAGGUACAAAGGCUCACAUUCUAGUUUAUCUCUCUCCCUUUUUUGAGUGUUAGCCUCGCUCUCUCAACUCAGUUUCACUGGUCUCUGUCUCUUUAUCUCUGUGUCUUAACUUUAACAACUGUGUUUUUGACAAGCCUGUGAUGGCAAGGUUAACUGUUCAGUUCCAGUCACAGAGGAGGUUCUUGGGUCAAGAAGCUCUUGUGGAGACGUUUAAAAACGUUUUGCAGUUCAGGCCACAUGUUAGAAUGGGCAAAGUAGUGAUACCUUCCUAGAAGGGUUUGGCCUUGUAUAUUAAAAAAACAAUCAUUUUCAUUUUAUUGCAGAGUCUAAAUGUUUAAAAAUAUGCUCCAUCUAUUUUUCAUGUUUUGAUUCCAUUUUUUUGCCCUUGAUUAUGCAAUUCUUUUCAUAGCUAAAGGAUUAAAUUUUGGAUCAAGUGAAUGAUUUAUUAUUAUUUUCCAUAUAAUAAUUAUCUGAUGAUAGGAAAGGUCGGAGUAAUGGUUUUGUUUAUGUUAUGAUUUCUCGUUCUUUUCAUAGCUAAAAGAUUAAACUCUGUUGAGUAAUGGUUUUAUUUAUUGGUUUGAUCUAUUCUCUACCUUGCUAGACAUGAAGAAUCAGGAUCAAGAGUUGCGAGGUUCACAACUUACUCCGCGCAUUUUGAAUGGGAAACUGUAUGGGGCAGUGAGAGUAGGCGGCUCUGAUUUGAAGUGUGGUGAUGAAGAUAUUUGGUUUCAAAGUCAUAAAGUAUAAGGCAUGAAGGCUUCUAGCUCAUGUAUUUUCAAGGCCAAAAAUUCUUGAAAAUUACUUCAUGCAUUCUAUUUCUUCAACAUGUUCCAAAAUUCUUGAAAAUUACUUCAUAAUGAACUUGUAACAAUCAUCAAAUCUUGCACUUUUUGUACCAAUGGUUGAUGCUAAUGAUUGUAUAGUUUGGACCCUCUCAACAUAUGUACCUGAUGUGCUCGAG